UACGAGUGCCCCGAGCGUUAUCCGGAAUCAUUGGGCGUAAAGGGUGUGUAGGUGGUCUUGUUAGUCUCCUGUCAAAUUCUUCGGCUUAACCGGGGGUCCGCAGGGGAAACGGCAAGACUAGAGGAUGCGAGGGGUGAAUGGAACUCAUAGUGGAGGGGUGAAAUCCGUUGAUAUUAUGGGGAACACCAAAAGCGAAGGCAAUUCACUGGCGCACUUCCUGACACUGAAAUACGAAAGCGUGGGUAGCGAAUGGG
rnacentral:rRNA from 1 species